GAUUAGAGAAAUCCUGGCGUCUCUUCGGCUUUUCCUCCUCGAACGAUUCCUAUUCGAUCUAGGUGAGGGCAUGGCGUUAUCAUCGGCGACGCCACGUCCUUCGCCGCCGGAGAUCAUGUCACCCCGCCCUUCGAAGCAUGUCAUGCCACAACCUUCGCCGCAGGUGGUCAUAGAGAUGCUCCCUUCAGGCCAUGUCGCUCCUCUGUCUCCUGUUCGUCCUGGCAUCUCUUUUUUCUUUUUGCGAAAUCUCCUCCUCGUAUCUGCCCAAUCCCUGUACGAUGCAUCAUUUUUUUUCUGAAUUGAUAUGAACAUGUACGCUCUGUCCUUACAGCCUGUAUGAUGCAUCUUUGUUUUUUCUGAAUUCUAAUGAGGUCAUCCCUAAUUUUUGUGUGAAAUGAUAUGAACAUGUACUCUUAGUCCUUACUCCUUACUCCCUGUAUGAUGUAUCUUUGUUUUUCUGGAUUCUAAUGAACAUGUCAUGAAAUUCAUCCACCAACUGAUGUGCACUCAAAGGGGAGAUACAAAAGGAUUAAGGAGCACUUAGACAAGGGUUGACAAGGGAAGGAAAAUAAAGAUGGAGAAGGGAAGCAAAAUAAAAAUGGAGAGUGGAACAAAAAUGCCAGAGGACUGAAAAAGCCUCGCACGUGCAGGACUUGCAAGCAAGUUGGCUUCUAUGACAGUCGUAGUUGCGCCCAAAGGAAACUAAUGACCAUACAGGUUGUUUUAUUUUGAUUCGAGUCAACAGUGUGCUUUCUUUUUGGUGUGGCGCAAGAUGGAAAUUCAAAGCUUCAGUGUUAUAUAGUGGAUGCUACCACUUGUUUUAAUGCAGUAGAUUGUAGUACAAAAAGUAGAUGUAUACCUCUGAAUCUUGUGUUCUUCUGACAAUACACAAUACGUGGUGUCCUACAAAUGAACGCUAUGUACUGGAUGUUACCACUUGUUUUAACGCACUAUAUUGUGUUGAUUAUCUGAAUG